AGCCUGAAUCAGUGUGUGUGUUAGUGGAAGCGUCUGGAAAGGCGUGCGAUACAGGGUGACAGCCCCGUACACAAAAAUGCACAUAUUGUGAGCUCGAUGAGUAGGGCGGGACACGUGGUAUCCUGUCUGAAUAUGGGGGGACCAUCCUCCAAGGCUAAAUACUCCUGACUGACCGAUAGUGAACCAGUACCGUGAGGGAAAGGCGAAAAGAACCCCGGCGAGGGGAGUGAAAAAGAACCUGAAACCGUGUACGUACAAGCAGUGGGAGCCUCUUUAUGGGGUGACUGCGUACCUUUUGUAUAAUGGGUCAGCGACUUAUAUUCUGUAGCAAGGUUAACCGAAUAGGGGAGCCGAAGGGAAACCGAGUCUUAACUGGGCGUUAAGUUGCAGGGUAUAGACCCGAAACCCGGUGAUCUAGCCAUGGGCAGGUUGAAGGUUGGGUAACACUAACUGGAGGACCGAACCGACUAAUGUUGAAAAAUUAGCGGAUGACUUGUGGCUGGGGGUGAAAGGCCAAUCAAACCGGGAGAUAGCUGGUUCUCCCCGAAAGCU
rnacentral:rRNA from 1 species